ACAACGAACGCUUGCGGCAUGCCUAACACAUGCAAGUCGAACGGGAUCCAUCCUUCGGGAUGGUGAGAGUGGCGGACGGGUGAGUAACGCGUGGGAACCUGCCCAGUGGUGGGGGAUAACUGCGGGAAACUGCAGCUAAUACCGCAUGAGCCCGAGAGGGGAAAGAUUUAUCGCCAUUGGAGGGGCCCGCGUUCGAUUAGGUAGUUGGUGAGGUAACGGCUCACCAAGCCGACGAUCGAUAGCUGGUCUGAGAGGGUGAUCAGCCACACUGGGACUGAGAUACGGCCCAGACUCCUACGGGAGGCAGCAGUGGGGAAUAUUGGACAAUGGGGGCAACCCUGAUCCAGCAAUGCCGCGUGAGUGAUGAAGGCCUUCGGGUUGUAAAGCUCUUUUGCCAGGGACGAUGAUGACGGUACCUGGAGAAUAAGCCCCGGCUAACUUCGUGCCAGCAGCCGCGGUAAUACGUAGGGUGCGAGCGUUGUCCGGAUUUAUUGGGCGUAAAGAGCUCGUAGGCGGCUCGUCGCGUCGACCGUGAAAACCCGCAGCUUAACUGUGGGCUUGCGGUUGAUACGGGCGGGCUAGAGUUCGGUAGGGGAGACUGGAAUUCCUGGUGUAGCGGUGAAAUGCGCAGAUAUCAGGAGGAACACCGGUGGCGAAGGCGGGUCUCUGGGCCGAUACUGACGCUGAGGAGCGAAAGCGUGGGGAGCGAACAGGAUUAGAUACCCUGGUAGUCCACGCUGUAAACGUUGGGCGCUAGGUGUGGGGGGCCUCUCCGGUUCUCUGUGCCGCAGCUAACGCAUUAAGCGCCCCGCCUGGGGAGUACGGCCGCAAGGCUAAAACUCAAAGGAAUUGACGGGGGCCCGCACAAGCGGCGGAGCAUGCGGAUUAAUUCGAUGCAACGCGAAGAACCUUACCUGGGUUUGACAUGGGCGCUAAAGCCGCAGAGAUGUGGUGUCCUUCGGGGGCGUUCACAGGUGGUGCAUGGCUGUCGUCAGCUCGUGUCGUGAGAUGUUGGGUUAAGUCCCGCAACGAGCGCAACCCUUGUCCGAUGUUGCCAGCGGGUUAUGCCGGGGACUCAUCGGAGACUGCCGGGGUCAACUCGGAGGAAGGUGGGGAUGACGUCAAGUCAUCAUGCCCCUUAUGUCCAGGGCUUCACGCAUGCUACAAUGGCCGGUACAAAGGGCUGCGAUACCGUGAGGUGGAGCGAAUCCCAAAAAGCCGGUCUCAGUUCGGAUCGGGGUCUGCAACUCGACCCCGUGAAGUCGGAGUCGCUAGUAAUCGCAGAUCAGCAACGCUGCGGUGAUACGUUCCCGGGCAUGCACU
rnacentral:rRNA from 1 species